AAAAAACCCAUCAAAGACGUUUGUUCUCCCAACCUCAAAAACUGGACGCGCUCACCUGUCGCUUGGUGCCUGAGGAGUCCUCUUCAGUGUCUCACCUGGACUGUGUCGACUGAAACCGCUGCAGCGAACAAAAACACCCCAAGCCACACCUAGACGAGCCUGGCUCUCGGUCAACACAGCCCCGCCCCCCCCGCCCCGCCGCGCCGCACCGCGCCGCACAGGUGUCACAUUACCCGGCUAACGAGACAGGAAGUCCUCGUUAGCGCUUCACGGAAACACCUGGGAACGCAGCAGUAGACGGAAAUGGCCGUUGAAUCUAGCUGCAUAUGAUAUUCACCUGAUCUGAUUUCCGGUCAUUGAACGUGACUUCUGCCCCGCGGCGUCGGAGCCUUGCGGAGGACAUUUCAAGCUACUACCGGCUGAAUGCUACGCCUGUAGUCCAAGAAGUAUGAAGGUUGUCGUCACCACAGUGGAUGAUGAGGACGUCAGCUGCUGCUCUUCCUCACGGGGUGGAAUCAGAGUGGAAGAAGGCUUUUCCACCACAGUAGGCCAGCCAAACGCAGCACGACAAGGUCUGCAGCUCUCUGGACACCUCGCGGACAAACUCAUCACCACGUCCACAUUGUGACUGUAGGAUUAAAAUUAAUAAAUGAAUGAUAAAUGCUUCAGAUAAUGAAAAAUGUGAAGUCCACUAAAGAGUGUAGCUCACAUUUUUAUGUUGACAACACUGUUAUGUCAAAUCUGUAGGAUAAAAUAGAACUAAAGAGCUUCAUCUCAGAAUAUAGAUGAAUCUCUAAUACUUUAUUUUUAGACAGACUAUAUAACUGUUAAGUCAAGUCCACGACUGGUACUGGUUUGUUUUGUGCAGCUAGUGGAAGCAUCACAGGUGAACUCAACAGCAACCACUGUGCUGAAAGUAAUAAACAUUUUGUAACAAAUAUAAAAGCCCAUUUCUAAGUCAUAUUCAAAGUGAUAAUCUGGUACAGUAAUGUCUAUAGCAGUACAGGUAAGGUUGACUACCACGGACUUCUGUCAGUGUGAAAACUUGAUCUGUGCACUGUUAAAGACAGUGGUGUGGGGAAUUAUAGAUUUUCUAUUUUCUUGUUUGGUGUAUGUCCCUUAAGGCCAAAAUAAAUAAAUAAAUGACAAUAAUAACUAAGACUACAAGCCAGUUUUAAUAAAAUAUAUAUACUGUGUGCCAAGAACACUAACGAUCACAUGUAACUUCUGUUUAGUUAACGUUUAUUUGAUUUAAUUUAUUAGAAUCAAAAUAUAGUGGAGCAAACUACCACUGAUACAAAUAAAAAAAAUGUAAUUAUAAUUUUAAUUUCAGUAACAAAUAUUUAUUUCACAGUGUUACUUACCACAUGUAACAUUGGCUGGGACGACUGGUACCGGAGCUCACGUUAGCGCAUUCAGUACAGACCCGGUGCAGCCUCAGGGCCGCGAUGCUGCACUUAGCAUAGCUUAUUAGCUUAGCUCCUUAGCCUCAGCUAACUGGGAAGUUUCGACGUAGCUGGGCGUGUUUCAGCGACCGGUCUGCAUUCGGCCCACCUCUUUGUCCAUAUUCUGAUUAGCCCGGUAAUGGAGGAGUCGGACCCUGUGUACUGAAAUAACAUUUUGUACUGGUGUAUUGAAAUAACACUUUGCACUGAACUAACAUAUAGCUAACUAAUGACAUAUAGCUAAAUAAUGGAAUAACAUGUAGCUAAAUAAAUACUGACACCUAUAAAGCUUGACAUACGUUAUACUUAAGAUUUUAUAACAAAUCUUGCAGAGCCUGCACUACGUGCAUAAGACUAAUUAACAUACAGACAGUAGAUGUCACAAGAUGUUCCCUUCAGACCAAAUUUAGCCUAGGACACAGACCAAAUUUAUCUUAGGACAGCAAAAUAAUUACACAAUAACGAUUACGAUAAGUCCAGACACAUAGUCAGGCGGUUCACCCACGUACAGACCGCACCCACCAUGCGGGAUAAAUAGCAAAUUAACUAUUGUACCAGGUUCCUGUCCCAAAGACUCUGUAAGUAUUGUUAUUGCUUGGAGCAAAUAAACAUGAUUUGAUUGAAUGCAUUGAACUCAUGACUGUUUUCUCCCUCUGAAUAAACGAACACACGGCGAGGACAUUGCCGAGGUCUAGGACGAGAAUCCUGCCGAACAAUUUGGUGACCCCGACGUGAUUCAAGGAGAAAUGAUUGUAAGAACAAACUCAAAUACGGGUGACAAGGACGGUGACUUAUUCAGUGCAGACCGGUCAAAAAAAAGGUAAGCAGUAACCUUUUGUAAUAAAAUACUGCAUAUUGAUCAUUCUAAAUUAACUGAUUAAGUCACCGAAUCUGACUCCUUAGAUCAAAUUAAAUGCAUUCUACCAAAUAAACGGAUCUGGGAUCCAUAGGAUCUGGGAUCCAUACCUAAUAGACGGAUCUGGGAUCCAUAGGAUCUGGGAUCCAUACGAAUAGUCUGGGACUAUUAAAGUGAAUGUUGUUCGGGGAACUACAAUAAUAACUAUGUGGGUGGUUUAUUGUGACUAAGACAAGGUUUGCCGACACACAGAGUGUUGCAGUCACAAGUCUGUGGGGAUUGGGUGGUAAAGUGGUAGUGGAGUGUAUUCAUGCCGAAAAGGAAAGGUGGUACUUGGGACGUGAAUUAACACCCAGGUUUUCAGCGCACCUUCGGGUGUAGAAGCUUCUGAAAUUGUCCCGGUAUCACUGGCAUUGCGUCCCCUUUCCACGGAACUCCACUAAGUGUAUACUCUGUUAAAUAAGAAAACAUGUCUAGUUGUCAAGGUAAAACUCGAGACAAUACUGUCAGAAUGUGGUAAUAAUUCGACGAAUGCUAGAACCUUCCGAAAAGGGUUUAAAAAUUAUGUGAAAAGAGAGGAACAGAAACCAUGGUGGCCAC
ensembl:lncRNA